rnacentral:rRNA from 1 species
UUGACGCUGGCGGCAGGCUUACACAUGCAAGUCGAGCGGAGAGAGGUAGCUUGCUACUGAUCUUAGCGGCGGACGGGUGAGUAAUGCUUAGGAAUCUGCCUAUUAGUGGGGGACAACAUUUCGAAAGGAAUGCUAAUACCGCAUACGUCCUACGGGAGAAAGCAGGGGAUCUUCGGACCUUGCGCUAAUAGAUGAGCCUAAGUCGGAUUAGCUAGUUGGUGGGGUAAAGGCCUACCAAGGCGACGAUCUGUAGCGGGUCUGAGAGGAUGAUCCGCCACACUGGGACUGAGACACGGCCCAGACUCCUACGGGAGGCAGCAGUGGGGAAUAUUGGACAAUGGGCGCAAGCCUGAUCCAGCCAUGCCGCGUGUGUGAAGAAGGCCUUAUGGUUGUAAAGCACUUUAAGCGAGGAGGAGGCUACUUUAGUUAAUACCUAGAGAUAGUGGACGUUACUCGCAGAAUAAGCACCGGCUAACUCUGUGCCAGCAGCCGCGGUAAUACAGAGGGUGCAAGCGUUAAUCGGAUUUUACUGGGCGUAAAGCGCGCGUUAGGCGGCUAAUUAAGUCAAAUGUGAAAUCCCCGAGCUUUAAACUUGGGAAUUGCAUUUCGAUACUGGGUUUAGCUAGAAGU